GAUCCCUGGCGGUGUCCAUAGCUAUAGGCUGGGGAUUCCCUGCUGUUGUGGUUGCAAUCACACUAGGAGUGACUUACAGAGUGGAUGAUCCUUUGGGCUAUCGACGAGAAGAGUUCUGUUGGCUUGCGGCUCUGAACCAAGAUGGGGAGU